rnacentral:tRNA from 1 species
AAGGGAGACCUAAUUCAGGUAUGGGACGAAAAAAAAGUAGUCGCUACCAAGAAUCAAUCCCAAAAGGUCGGAGCGAGGUAUGAGGCUUUCAAACUAGGUUCUGGGUUCAAACAAGACCUGAAUCAGGAACAAGGGCUAUUAGCUCAGGUGGUUAGAGCGCACCCCUGAUAAGGGUGAGGUCCCUGGUUCGAGUCCAGGAUGGCCCACCUGCACAGGUGGCAAAAACAAGAGAAGCGAGGAAUCAGCACCUUAUCUUAUCUAUAUAUAUAUAGGAGAGAAUGCUGGCUCUGAGUAAAGAGUCCAGAGGAACCUUGAAAACUGCAUAGAGCUAGGUGAAAAAGCCAAAAAAGAAGACCGCAAAGUCAAGCUAAUAAGGGCUAACGGUGGAUACCUAGGCAC